UACGUAGGUCCCGAGCGUUGUCCGGAUUUAUUGGGCGUAAAGCGAGCGCAGGUGGUUUAUUAAGUCUGGUGUAAAAGGCAGUGGCUCAACCAUUGUAUGCAUUGGAAACUGGUAGACUUGAGUGCAGGAGAGGAGAGUGGAAUUCCAUGUAUAGCGGUGAAAUGCGUAGAUAUAUGGAGGAACUCCGAUUGCGAAGGCAGCAUACCGGCGCCCUACUGACGCUGAGGCACGAAAGCGUGGGUAUCGAACAGG
rnacentral:rRNA from 1 species